GUGUCAGCCGCCGCGGUAAUACGUAGGUGGCGAGCGUUGUCCGGAAUUACUGGGUGUAAAGGGCGUGUAGGCGGGGAUGCAAGUCAGAUGUGAAAUACCGAGGCUUAACUUCGGGGGUGCAUCUGAAACUGUAUUUCUUGAGUGUCGGAGAGGAAAGUGGAAUUCCUAGUGUAGCGGUGAAAUGCGUAGAUAUUAGGAGGAACACCAGUGGCGAAGGCGACUUUCUGGACGAUAACUGACGCUGAGGCGCGAAAGCGUGGGGAGCAAACAGGAUUAGAUACCCUGGUAGUCCACGCCGUAAACGAUGGAUACUAGGUGUAGGAGGUAUCGACCCCUUCUGUGCCGCAGUUAACACAAUAAGUAUCCCACCUGGGGAGUACGGCCGCAAGGCUGAAACUCAAAUGAAUUGACGG
rnacentral:rRNA from 1 species